rnacentral:rRNA from 1 species
CGGUGGAGCAUGUGGUUUAAUUCGAAGCAACGCGAAGAACCUUACCAGGCCUUGACAUGCAGAGAACUUUCCAGAGAUGGAUUGGUGCCUUCGGGAACUCUGACACAGGUGCUGCAUGGCUGUCGUCAGCUCGUGUCGUGAGAUGUUGGGUUAAGUCCCGUAACGAGCGCAACCCUUGUCCUUAGUUACCAGCACGUUAUGGUGGGCACUCUAAGGAGACUGCCGGUGACAAACCGGAGGAAGGUGGGGAUGACGUCGAGUCAUCAUGGCCCUUACGGCCUGGGCUACACACGUGCUACAAUGGUCGGUACAAAGGGUUGCCAAGCCGCGAGGUGGAGCUAAUCCCAUAAAACCGAUCGUAGUCCGGAUCGCAGUCUGCAACUCGACUGCGUGAAGUCGGAAUCGCUAGUAAUCGUGAAUCAGAAUGUCACGGUGAAUACGUUCCCGGGCCUU